rnacentral:rRNA from 1 species
GAUGAACGCUGGCGGCGUGCUUAACACAUGCAAGUCGAACGAUGAAGCCCAGCUUGCUGGGUGGAUUAGUGGCGAACGGGUGAGUAACACGUGAGUAACCUGCCCUUAACUCUGGGAUAAGCCUGGGAAACUGGGUCUAAUACCGGAUAGGAGCGUCCACCGCAUGGUGGGUGUUGGAAAGAUUUAUCGGUUUUGGAUGGACUCGCGGCCUAUCAGCUUGUUGGUGAGGUAGUGGCUCACCAAGGCGACGACGGGUAGCCGGCCUGAGAGGGUGACCGGCCACACUGGGACUGAGACACGGCCCAGACUCCUACGGGAGGCAGCAGUGGGGAAUAUUGCACAAUGGGCGCAAGCCUGAUGCAGCGACGCCGCGUGAGGGAUGACGGCCUUCGGGUUGUAAACCGCUUUCAGUAGGGAAGAAGCGAAAGUGACGGUACCUGGAGAAGAAGCACCGGCUAACUACGUG